GUCCCCAGGGUCUAAUGGGCAGAUGCUGGGCAGUGGUUCAGGUAAAGUGUGCACUGGUGCAGGGCACAGGACAGUGCUGUUUCCAGCUACAACACUCUGAAAAACGUUCUCCACUCAAGCAGCCUGAAGCUCAGGAGGGCUAUUAGUCCUGACAGCUCUCAGCAGAGGCUCCCACAGCAUCCUCCCACACACAGAUUCACAAGAGCGUGUGGCUAGUCUGCAGGCAAACUCAGUCUGCUUUGGUCUCCUUCGUCUCAGCAGAACCUCCAGGCCUGACAGCUGUCAGACACUUUGCAAAUGAAGCAGGAGACAGGAUGCAAGUGUUGCCUCACAGGCAGACAAGUCCUGCUAACCUGAGAAGUAUGGAGCUAGGGGGAUGGCUCAGGGGGGAAAGUGCUUCCCAAGCAGGACCUUAGCUUGGAUCCCCGGUGCCUACCCCACUGUGUAUGUAAUAGCCAAGCAGGGAGGUGUGUGCGUUAACCACAACACUGGAGGAGUGGGCACACGUGGGUACCAGGCACUCCCUGGCCAGACAACGCAGACAAAACUGCAUGCUCCACACUUAGGAGAAACCUGCCUCAAAAAAAUGUAGUUGGAGAGAAAUAAAAGAGCGUAAAAGUCAAGGUUGCUGCGGCCUCCACAGACAUACACGGCCAAUUGCACCCGUUCACAAGGACGUUUUUACAAAGUCAGAAACUGCCUGACAUGGGGCACCUGCGUGAUCCUAGCCCUCAGGAGGCUGAGGCAGGAAGACUAAGGGUUCAAGGCCAGAAUGGGUUACACAGCAAGGCCCCACUACAAAAUAAAAAGCUAGGCAUAUCCUGGCCUUACUUUGGUACCGGUCUGUAUUCUGAGAGACGGCUUCCUCUCGAUAAUGGCAGACAUCUGUCUGUCACAGGAACAAAGAUGGCACCUGCAUGCCCCUUGGGUGGAAAGGUGGAUUCGGUACACGGCAGUGAGUUCAAUGGGGACCCAAAGGAAGGCACUGACAAGCUCCAGUCUGACAAGCUCUGCUGAUGGCGGUGAGAAGGAAGCUGAGCCUUACAGGAGGAAGGCGAGACCGGGGGGCUGGCAACAGGCUUCUCAGGCGUCCCAUGGGCAUGGGACCCUUGGGCACACGGGGCACACGGGGCACACGGGGCACACAGGGCACAGGCCAGUGGUGUUCCAUGUGUUCACCUUCACCUCAGGGCAGCAGGCUGUGUCCAUGUCGCCCUGUGCCUGCGGAGGGCUUGCUAAAGGUGGGUUUCCACCCCACACGUGUGUAGUGUGCUGCACAGCUGCCUACAGUAGUCUGGGCAGACUCACCUGUCCACUUUGCAGGCCUUAUACCAGCCGCCAUACUCUCCAAAAGACGACCCGUCCUUCUGCUUUCCCUGUGGUCAGAGAGAAGCCAGAAGACAAUGGAAGCUGUAAAAGCCCAGGUGAUGGCGGUGGUGACCUGGGGCCAGGCUCUGACUAACUUGGUGCACGCCACUGGGGUCUUUCAGCCACACCCACAGCUCCUCUCUCUAGACAGCCUGCUUCCAGAACUGUCCCUCCUGGGGCCGGAACCCCAGGCCGGCAGCCAUACCGCCUGGCCUCUCCAUCAUCCCCACAGCCUAACUCUGAGGUCAUGCUGUCCCUGGAGGGAGCCUGCAAGGCCACCAGAAGGCAACAGCUACCAGUGUCUAGCACUGAGGGUGCCAGCUGUCAAUGUCUCCUCGCUGAACAUAGGCUAAGCCUCUGUAAAUGUCCACACGCAUAAAAACAAGCCUCAAGUAAAUAAAUACUAAUUCUCAAGUGAAAGAAAACCACACGUGUGCAUGUAAUGACUGACAGAACCCCGUCUGGAUCCACCCUAGGCCUUUUCACAAGUUCAUGACUGCCAUCUGAGUGUUACACACCACCCUUCAUGAAGGAAACAUUUAACACAAACAUUGUUUUUGAUUCAACAAUCUAAGACUUAUUUAUGUAUAUGGUUGUCUUGUCUGCAUGUACAUGUGCACACCAGAAGACAUCAGAUCCCUUAUAGACACUUGUAAGCUGUCAUGUGAGUAUUGAGAAUUGAACUCAGAACCUCUCAAAGUAGUCAGCACCCUUAACUGCUGAGCCCUCUCUCCAGGCCCUGAUUCAGUAAUUUACAUUCUAUAAAAUUACACUUAUACAAAUGUCACUGCAUGUCCUCUGCAUGGCCACAGGCAGAGGUCUGGCAUAGCAUGCAGGACUACAGACUGAGGCCCAGAUGGGCACCAGCAUACCAACACUUUUUCCUCACACUGUACAUUAGCACCUGAAGUGUCUGGAGGGAUCAAAAAUAAGAACAAACAACACAGCAAA